rnacentral:SRP_RNA from 1 species
GCCGGGCAGAGUGGCGCGUGCCUGUAGUCUCAGCUACUUGGAAGACGGAGGUGGGAGGAUCGCUUGAGCCCAGGAGUUCUGGGCUGUAGGGCGCUAUGCCAAUCAGGUGUCUGCACUAAAUUUGGCAUCAGUAUGGUGACCUCCCAGGACUGGGGGACCACCAGGUUGCCUGAGAAGGGGUGAACCUGCCCAGGUCGGAAAUAGAGCAGGUGAAAACUCCUGUGCUGAUCAGUGCCUGUGAAUAGCCACUGCACUCCUGUGGGAUCACACCUGUGAAUAGCCACUGCACUCGAACCUGGGCAACAUAGUGAGACCCUGUCUCU